GUGUUUGCUUUGGCAGCACAUAAACUAAAACUGGAAUGAUGCAGAGAAGAUUCGCGUGGCCCCUGAGCAAGGAUGACAUGCCAAUUUGUGCAGAGCUCCAUAUUUUU
ensembl:snRNA U6 U6 spliceosomal RNA